CUCCAGGAACAGCCACCUGAUCACAUAGUGGGGUAUACUUCACGUCAUGGCACUAACUUUUACCAGUGCACACCAAAUAGCUCAGAGUGCCACAUAACAGAGACCAAAUGGUCCCCUUGAGGCCAUUAUUUUAUGCAACCUUUUAAGUACACAUCACUCACCCACCCUUUCGAUCUUACCACCAACUCCCUUCAUAACGUGUACCUGUACUUCUCUCCCCUUCUCACCAAGCUGAAAAUGACUAGCCUGAUUUCCACAAUAACAAAAAUGCGCAAAGUCUUAGCGAUGCCACAGUUUGUUUUCUGUUUAACUAAAAAUGUGCAAAGUCUUAGC